rnacentral:rRNA from 1 species
AGAUAGGGCAGAGGUGGAAGUGUGGCAACACAUGGAGCUGACUGUUACUAAUAGGUCGAGGGCAUAACCAAA